GUGCCAGCAGCCGCGGUAAUACGGAGGAUGCGAGCGUUAUCCGGAUUCAUUGGGUUUAAAGGGUGCGUAGGCGGACUUAUAAGUCAGUGGUGAAAACCUGCAGCUUAACUGUAGACGUGCCAUUGAUACUGUUAGUCUUGAGUAUGGUCAAGGUAGGCGGAAUGUGUAAUGUAGCGGUGAAAUGCUUAGAUAUUACACAGAACACCGAUUGCGAAGGCAGCUUACUGGGCCAUUACUGACGCUGAUGCACGAAAGCGUGGGGAGCGAACAGGAUUAGAUACCCUAGUAGUCC
rnacentral:rRNA from 1 species